GAUGAACGCUGGCGGCGUGCUAAUACAUGCAAGUCGAGCGAGAAGCUUGGAAAUGACGCUUCGGUUGAUUUUCCAAGCGGACAGCGGCGGACGGGUGAGUAACGCGUAGGCAACCUGCCCCUGACAGAGGGAUAGCCAUUGGAAACGAUGAUUAAAACCUCAUGACACCGUAGUAGCACAUGCUACAUCGGUCAAAGAUUUAUCGGUCAGGGAUGGGCCUGCGUCUGAUUAACUGGUUGGUGAGGUAACGGCUCACCAAGGUGACGAUCAGUAGCCGACCUGAGAGGGUGAUCGGCCACAUUGGAACUGAGACACGGUCCAAACUUCUACGGAAGGCAGCAGUAGGGAAUCUUGCACAAUGGGCGAAAGCCUGAUGCAGCAACGCCGCGUGAAGGAUGAAGGCCUUCGGGUUGUAAACUUCUGUUCU
rnacentral:rRNA from 1 species